rnacentral:rRNA from 1 species
UUUCCUUCGGGACUGAUUAUUUUGUGACUGAGUGGCGGACGGGUGAGUAACGCGUGGGUAACCUGCCUUGUACAGGGGGAUAACAGUUGGAAACGGCUGCUAAUACCGCAUAAGCGCACGGCAUCGCAUGAUGCAGUGUGAAAACUCCGGUGGUAUGAGAUGGACCCGCGUCUGAUUAGCUAGUUGGUGGGGUAACGGCCUACCAAGGCGACGAUCAGUAGCCGACCUGAGAGGGUGACCGGCCACACUGGAACUGAGACACGGUCCAGACUCC